ensembl:lncRNA
AUGAACUUGGUGAAAUCUGGCUGCUCAUGCUCUGUAUUUUUUUCCUUAGGAGGGAACAGCAAGACCACAUGUGUUACGCAGGGUGACUUUCCUGCAGCAAACCACACAUGCAGGAGAGGAAGGCAUGGAAGAGGAUGUGUCUUGGCUUCGACGGAGGAAAAAGCAAGCUGUAAGAGUUUGACUGAGACACAGCUGAAGCUGGAUACAGGCCACAAAGAGAUACACUGCAGAGCAGAACAAGAGCAACGUCAAUGACACUCUAUGCAAACCAGAACACAUCCCAUAAUAUCAGACAGCUUGACUCAAGCUUGUGCAGUAGCAGCAGCAAUACUGUAGUACCGACAUGUUUAGUAGGCAGCUCAAAGGUUACAUCCCAAUUUGCAUACUAUAUACUACAUUGUAGUAAUGUGUUCUAAACAUUAGUAAAUUAAAAACAGCAUGAUGGAUUUUGGAAAUAUGCAUCCAUUUAUGCUUUAUGAGUAAAUGAUUCACACAAACCGUGGCAUUCCUGAGGAGGAGGAGUUCAUGACUCAAGGUUUCAGUGUUAGAAAAAUGCAGUUAUUUUAAGUUAUUUUAAACGCAUGAAUGUAAAACAUUAAGUAAUCAUGGAUUAAUUAGGUCAUUUAUUACGUUUAUUACAAAUAUUUGAUGCAGUUUUAUGAAUCAUUUUCCAAAAUAACACUAAUGUUGAAAAAGUUUAGAUUCACAUAAACAUUUUUAUGAUUUUGAAAAAAAAAAAACUGAUUCCAUUUAUUAGAGUAGAUAUUUAUGUAUGUUUUAAAAAACAUUUUUAUUGGUCAUGACUUCUUUCAAAAACUAUAAAAACUCUUACCGACCCCAAACUUUCAUACAGUAGUUGUUGCUCGCUCUAAUCUCCAUGAAAAACUGCAUGCUUCCAGUGUGCAGGAAGCCAUUAGUCUUGAGGCCGUAAAUUAAAUUAAAGCUCAUAAAUUAAAUUAAUAUCUUGUAGAAGUAUGUAAAUUGGGAUCCAGCCAAAAACUUAGAUCCAGAACAAUGCACAUUCUUUCAUCCCAUGAAAGUAACAGCAGAGAUUGUGAUAUAUGAAAGUUUUCAGGACACUUUUUUUUUUUUUCUGUUUGUGAGGAGUAUUCAUGCAGUAUCUGUGAGAAGUGAGCUGUGCUGAGCCUUGAUCUUGCUGUAUUGUCGUGUUUCUCUUCCAGAUGCAGAGGAAUGUGUUUGAGGAGAUGAAGUACAUAGAACUGAGGGUUGUCACUGACCACAGCGUGGUGUGUUUAAAUGCUGUUUGAAUAUAAUACCCCUUUAUGUGAAAGUAUCUUCGGCCUUCUGAUUUUCUUUGUGAAAAAGAUGUACACUUUGGCAUACUUUUAAAAAGAACGCCUAUGAAAAUAAUGUACUUUGUUCGAAUUAAAUAUUGUGGAUUGUAAUGUUUUUGGACACUUAAUUGCAUGUUAAUUGCUAUUAAAUGAAAAUGUAUUAUAGUUUAUGUUUACUGAACGCUUACACUUUACUGUAAAGUGCUUAAUAAGUAAUUUUUUGUGAAAUAUGGUUAAAGUACUUCUAAAUGUACUGUGAAGCAUUUAUGAUAAACUAAAAUAUAAAAUAGCUAAAAUAUACUUCAAUGCCAUUUCUACUGAAACUUGUGUGUCAUGUAUUUAACUAUAUACAUUUGUAAUAAUGGAGCUGCAGUUUAGGAGCCUACAUUUUAAAUAUAUUGAAUAACACGCUGCAGUUAAAAUUAUAAUCCAGUACUUUACAUCUCAUCUGGUUUAGGAUGUUAGUCAACACAAGAAAAUAAGUGUAGCUUACUUUUUAAAAGCGUAUUAAGAAACAUGGUCAUAAAAUUGGACUCUCUUUAGGUACAUGUGGGGCCUAAUAUAUUAUCUGCAAGUACAGUUUUAACAAAUAUACUUUUAAUAUUUGAAGUACCCUACAAGUGCACAUUCAAUACAAUUAAGCACACUUCACAAGGGUUUAGUGGUAGAGUUGUGUUUGAGGAUAGGUGUGGGACUAUUGUUUGAUAAGAAUGUUUAUCCAGUCUUGAGUCAAUCUAUGUUUAUCAUCUCAUUAGUGCAGUUCCUGCGUCAUAAAAUGCUUUGGGAAUGCCUUCAGCGUGACCGGCUCUGAAUCAUGUGUGUAAUCAGACCAAUGGAUGGGCGAGAUGUCAUAGGCGGGUGACGUCAGAGAUCAGAGCGCUUAAAAGCACGUGCGGCCAUGCUGGCAUUUAGCCUUGUGUCUUUCAGCAAGCGCUCGGUGUGUGUGUCAGUUGCUAUCUGUUUGUGAGUCUUAUUUAGUGUUGUUUGUCCAAAGCUUCAGUCAAGAGAAGUUUUGGGCGAUAGCAGGCAGUGUUCAGACUGUGUUUUUUCCCUGCCCGCAAAAAACAAAACAAAAAAAGGGGGUAGGGACACACGCAGUUUGUGUGUUGUCUGCUUGAGAGGGAGCUGAUGGCUGCGAUGUGAGCGUUUGUUACAGCUUUGCUUCACUCUCAGAAGGCUCUCUUUGAGGAGGGAGCCUUCACUGGUGUUUCUUGCGUGGCAGCCCCGCUUUCGCCGAGGCGGAGUGGUGGUUGUGCUUGGGGGUUUCGCUUUCGGAUCUGGUGGAAAAGGGAUGUAGACGGGCAAGUCCCUAUCUUCGGGCGUUAAUAAGCUCGCCAGUUGCACAAGCAUCAGUUACACAAGCAUACUAUGCCUGAUAUUAUAAUGAGCAGCUUUAAUGAGGAGUGGAGCUCACGCAGUCAGCUCUCGGGGGGCUGAUUGUGCUUUUCUCGCAGUUAAGUGCUCCGCUCUCGCCGGGCAUGCUCCGAGGAGUGUGUCCGUGCAUGCGGUCUUGCAGUUGUGGUCCCGCUGCUGCUGAGGCACGGCGGCGACUGAGAUCACGGAUCGCACAUGAUCUGGCGGACGGGUUGGAGACAGCACGUCCUGUCUCCACCCGUGUUUCUUGCUGCGGUUUCUUCCCCCUCUGAGUGAGAGCUCGCUGCAGCGUUCAUCUUCCUCUGAGGAGAUUGAUGUUGUUUGUGUGACUGAGUGGCAAAAAAAAAAAAAAAACUUGCGCGCUGCCGAGGCAGAGUGUUUACUCGUCUGGUUGUUGACUACAUUUAAUUCUGAGGAAUAAAAUGAAAUAUUU